CAGCCCUAAACGAUGCGCGUUAGGUGUAUCGGUGACCACGAGUCACCGAGGUGCCGAAGGGAAACCGUGAAACGUGCCGCCUGGGAAGUACGGCCGCAAGGCUGAAACUUAAAGGAAUUGGCGGGGGAGCACAACAACGGGUGGAGCUUGCGGUUUAAUUGGAUUCAACGCCGGAAAUCUUACCGGGACCGACAGCAACAUGAAGGCCAGGCUGAAGACUUUGCCGGAUUAGCUGAGAGGAGGUGCAUGGCGUGUGACUGU
rnacentral:rRNA from 1 species